GAUGAACGCUGGCGGCGUGCCUAAUACAUGCAAGUCGAACGGAGAUUACGGACGGUAGUUUUCUGAUGGAUUACUGUAAUUCUUAGUGGCGCACGGGUAAGUAACGCGUGGGCAACCUGCCCUAUUUAGGGGGAUCGCAGCUUGAAACGGCUGAUAAGUCCGCAUAAGUCGGCGAUUCCGCAUGGUUUUGUCGGGAAAUGCGUAAUAAGGCGUAGGUUGGGCACGCGCUCGAUUAGAUAGUUGGCAGUGUAAAAGCCUACCAAAGGUACGAUCGGUAGCCGGGCUGAGAGGUAGGACCGCAACAUUGAGACGGAGAAACGGCACGGACUCCUACGGGAGGCAGGAAUGGGGGAUAAUGCAAAAUGGAGGAAACUCUGAUGGAGCGAGGCCGCGAAAGUGAAGUAGUAUUGCAGUAAGAAAAGCGCAAUCAACAGUGCACAUGAUGACGGUACCUGACCAGAAAGCCACGGCUAACUACGUG
rnacentral:rRNA from 1 species